rnacentral:rRNA from 1 species
UACAGAGGGGGCAAGCGUUGUUCGGAAUUACUGGGCGUAAAGGGCGCGUAGGCGGCCUGUUAAGUCGAACGUGAAAUCCCCGGGCUCAACCCGGGAACUGCGUCCGAUACUGGCAGGCUCGAAUCCGGGAGAGGGAUGCGGAAUUCCAGGUGUAGCGGUGAAAUGCGUAGAUAUCUGGAGGAACACCGGUGGCGAAGGCGGCAUCCUGGACCGGCAUUGACGCUGAGGUGCGAAAGCGUGGGGAGCAAACAGG